UACGUAGGUGGCAAGCGUUGUCCGGAAUUACUGGGCGUAAAGCGUGCGUAGACGGCUAUCUAAGUCGGGUGUGAAAGCCCCGGGCUCAACCUGGGAAUUGCAUUCGAGACUGAAUAGCUAGGGUGCGGUAGAGGGAAGCGGAAUUUCCGGUGUAGCGGUGAAAUGCGUAGAUAUCGGAAGGAAGACCAGUGGCGAAGGCGGGUCUCUGGACAGUUCCUGACACUGAGGCACGAAGGCCAGGGGAGCAAACGGG
rnacentral:rRNA from 1 species